UACGUAGGGGGCAAGCGUUGUCCGGAUUCAUUGGGCGUAAAGAGCUCGUAGGCGGCUUGGCAAGUCGGGUGUGAAAACUCCAGGCUCAACCUGGAGACGCCACCCGAUACUGCCAUGGCUAGAGUCCGGUAGGGGACCACGGAAUUCCUGGUGUAGCGGUGAAAUGCGCAGAUAUCAGGAGGAACACCGGUGGCGAAGGCGGGUCUCUGGGCCGAUACUGACGCUGAGGAGCGAAAGCGUGGGGAGCAAACAGG
rnacentral:rRNA from 1 species